rnacentral:rRNA from 1 species
UGCAGUCGAACGAUGAUGCCCAGCUUGCUGGGUGGAUUAGUGGCGAACGGGUGAGUAACACGUGAGUAACCUGCCCCUGACUCUGGGAUAAGCGUUGGAAACGACGUCUAAUACUGGAUAUGACUGCCGGCCGCAUGGUCUGGUGGUGGAAAGAUUUUUUGGUUGGGGAUGGACUCGCGGCCUAUCAGCUUGUUGGUGAGGUAAUGGCUCACCAAGGCGACGACGGGUAGCCGGCCUGAGAGGGUGACCGGCCACACUGGGACUGAGACACGGCCCAGACUCCUACGGGAGGCAGCAGUGGGGAAUAUUGCACAAUGGGCGAAAGCCUGAUGCAGCAACGCCGCGUGAGGGAUGACGGCCUUCGGGUUGUAAACCUCUUUUAGUAGGGAAGAAGCGAAAGUGACGGUACCUGCAGAAAAAGCACCGGCUAACUACGUGCCAGCAGCCGCGGUAAUACGUAGGGUGCAAGCGUUGUCCGGAAUUAUUGGGCGUAAAGAGCUCGUAGGCGGUUUGUCGCGUCUGCUGUGAAAUCCCGAGGCUCAACCUCGGGCUUGCAGUGGGUACGGGCAGACUAGAGUGCGGUAGGGGAGAUUGGAAUUCCUGGUGUAGCGGUGGAAUGCGCAGAUAUCAGGAGGAACACCGAUGGCGAAGGCAGAUCUCUGGGCCGUAACUGACGCUGAGGAGCGAAAGCGUGGGGAGCGAACAGGAUUAGAUACCCUGGUAGUCCACGCCGUAAACGUUGGGCGCUAGAUGUAGGGACCUUUCCACGGUUUCUGUGUCGUAGCUAACGCAUUAAGCGCCCCGCCUGGGGAGUACGGCCGCAAGGCUAAAACUCAAAGGAAUUGACGGGGGCCCGCACAAGCGGCGGAGCAUGCGGAUUAAUUCGAUGCAACGCGAAGAACCUUACCAAGGCUUGACAUACACCGGAAACGGCCAGAGAUGGUCGCCCCCUUGUGGUCGGUGUACAGGUGGUGCAUGGUUGUCGUCAGCUCGUGUCGUGAGAUGUUGGGUUAAGUCCCGCAACGAGCGCAACCCUCGUUCUAUGUUGCCAGCGCGUUAUGGCGGGGACUCAUAGGAGACUGCCGGGGUCAACUCGGAGGAAGGUGGGGAUGACGUCAAAUCAUCAUGCCCCUUAUGUCUUGGGCUUCACGCAUGCUACAAUGGCCGGUACAAAGGGCUGCGAUACCGUAAGGUGGAGCGAAUCCCAAAAAGCCGGUCUCAGUUCGGAUUGAGGUCUGCAACUCGACCUCAUGAAGUCGGAGUCGCUAGUAAUCGCAGAUCAGCA